rnacentral:rRNA from 1 species
AUCGAACGCUGGCGGCAGGCCUAACACAUGCAAGUCGAACGAGUGGCGGAGGGGUGAGGAAUGUAUGGGAAACUGCCUGAUGGAGGGGGAUAACUACUGGAAACGGUAGCUAAAACCGAAUAACAUCAGGUGUGCCGAGAUGGGAUUAGCUUGUUGGUGGGGUAUCGGCUGACCAAGGGGACGAGGCCUAGCAGGGCUGAGCGGAUGACCGGCCACACUGGAACUGCGACACGGUCCUGCCUCCUACGGGAGGCAGCAGUGGUGAAUAUUGCACAAUGGGCGCAAGCCUGAUGCAGCCAUGCCGCGUGUAUGAAGAAGGCCUUCAGGUUGUAAAGUACUUUCAGCGGGGCGGCGUUACCCGCAGAAGAAGCACCGGCUAACUCCGUGCCAGCAGCCGCGGUAAUUC